rnacentral:rRNA from 1 species
AGAGUUUGAUCCUGGCUCAGGACGAACGCUGGCGGCGGGCUUAACACAUGCAAGUCGCACGAGAAAGUGCCUUCGGGCACGAGUAAAGUGGCGGACGGGUGCGUAACGCGUAGGCAACCUGCCCUCAAGCGGGGGAUAACUUCGGGAAACCGGAGCUAAUACCGCAUAUAGUCCGAUGCUCGCAUGAGCAACGGAUAAAAGCCUUCGGGCGCUUGAGGAUGGGCCUGCGUCGGAUUAGCUAGUUGGUGAGGUAACAGCUCACCAAGGCAACGAUCCGUAGCUGGUCUGAGAGGACGAUCAGCCACACUGGGACUGAGACACGGCCCAGACUCCUACGGGAGGCAGCAGUGGGGAAUAUUGCGCAAUGGAGGAAACUCUGACGCAGCCACGCCGCGUGGUGGAAGACACCCCUAUGGGGCGUAAACACCUUUUAUUUGGGAAGAAGGCUCUCCUCUGGAGAGUUUGACGGUACCACAUGAAUAAGCACCGGCUAACUCCGUGCCAGCAGCCGCGGUAAUACGGAGGGUGCAAGCGUUGUCCGGAAUCACUGGGUGUAAAGGGUGUGUAGGCGGACCUGUAAGUCAGAGGUGAAAGUCUGCGGCUUAACCGUAGAAUUGCCUUUGAUACUGUAGGUCUUGAGUCCCGGAGAGGUUGCUGGAAUUCGUGGUGU